GACGACGCUGGCGGCGUGCCUAAACACAUGCAAGGUCGAACGGAGAAUUUGUAGCAAUAUGAAUUCUUAGUGGCGAACGGGUGAGUAACGCGUGAGCAACCUGCCCUUCAGAGGGGGACAACAGCUGGAAACGGCUGCUAAUACCGCAUAACGUAUAUUUGCGGCAUCGCAGAUAUACCAAAGAUUUAUCGCUGAAGGAUGGGCUCGCGUCUGAUUAGAUAGUUGGUGAGGUAACGGCUCACCAAGUCAACGAUCAGUAGCCGGACUGAGAGGUUGAACGGCCACAUUGGGACUGAGAUACGGCCCAGACUCCUACGGGAGGCAGCAGUGGGGAAUAUUGGGCAAUGGGGGCAACCCUGACCCAGCAACGCCGCGUGAAGGAAGAAGGCUUCGGGUUGUAAACUUCUUUGACGAGGGACGAAGAAAUGACGGUACCUCGAAAACAAGCCACGGCUAACUACGUG
rnacentral:rRNA from 1 species